CGAGCAGACCGGACAGCUGCGGAUACAGCGGGAAACGGCGUAUCUGAGGAAAGUCCGAGCUCCGCAGGGCAUGGAUAACGGCUAACGGCCGCCGGGGGUGACCCUAGGGAAAGUGCAACAGAAAGAUACCGCCGCUCUUUUGAGCGGUAAGGAUGGAAAGGCGAGGUAAGAGCUCACCAGCAUUCGGAGAACCGAAUGGCUCUGCAAACCCUAUCCGGAGCAACACCGCAGUGGGACAUUUUGUGUCGGCCCGACACGUCCCUAGAAGGUGGCAUCGAGCUAUGGCGGCAACGCCUGGCCAAGAUAGAUGGCUGUCAGAACAGAACUCGGCUUAUAAGUCUGGUCGCAAA
rnacentral:RNase_P_RNA from 1 species